GCACCUUUUGUUGUUUCCUCGGCAGGUCCUCUGCCGCCAGGAACCCCCCAAACCCUUUUGCAACAGCAUCCAAACUUCUGAAAACAAACCAAAUCAUUUACAACUUUAACAAUGGAUCUCUUGGUUCUGGCAUCGAUGAAGAACGCAGCGAAAUGCGAUAAGUAGUGUGAAUUGCAGAAUUCAGUGAAUCAUCGAAUCUUUGAACGCACAUUGCGCCCCUUGGUAUUCCAUGGGGCAUGCCUGUUCGAGCGUCAUUUACCCCCUCAAGCUCCGCUUGGUGUUGGGCGUCUGUCCCGCUUCGCGCGCGGACUCGCCCCAAAGGUAUUGGCAGCGGUCGUGCCAGCUUCUCGCGCAGCACAUUGCGCUUCUCGAGGCACCGGUGGGCCCGCGUCCAUCAAGCUCACCCCCCCAGUUUGACCUCGGAUCAGGUAGGGAUACCCGCUGAACUUAAGCAUAUCAAUAAGCGGAGGA
rnacentral:rRNA from 1 species